UCUCUCUCUCUCUCUAUACACACAUGCGCGUGUGCGCGCACACACACACAUAGAGCAAAUAUAUGUCUCCCUAGACAUGGUGUGGGGGGGCUUCUAUAUUAUCUAAUUUUCAGAAGAUAAAAGAUAAUACAAAUGUGAAUGAGUAGGAAGAAGGAUACAGAAUCUAAAGAAAAUUCAACUAAAAUGAUGUAAAAUAAAUUUAUUAAGGGAAAAAUAAGAUUUUAUCCCAUAACAAUAUGCAAAUAGAGGUGCUUUCUUUGCAGAUUACCUGUGUUGAUAUAGCUUAUUAAUAUUACUUAUGGCUUAGCCCCCAAAAGAUAAAAAUUCUUGUGUUUUUAGAUGAGUAAGUAUACUGUAUCAUCUGUGAACUCUGCAG
rnacentral:misc_RNA from 1 species